UUCAAUGGCGGGCCGCGUGGGGCCAGCUUCGGCUGGGCCGGUUCCUGUAGGCCGGUUUCCACCCCCGCGUCGGUCCGCCACCCGC
rnacentral:antisense_RNA from 1 species